ACGGAGGGGGUUAGCGUUGUUCGGAAUUACUGGGCGUAAAGCGCACGUAGGCGGAUCAGAAAGUUGGGGGUGAAAUCCCGGGGCUCAACCCCGGAACUGCCUCCAAAACUCCUGGUCUUGAGUUCGAGAGAGGUGGUGAUACUCAGUGUAGAGGUGAAUUCGUAGAUAUUCGGAGGAACACCAGUGGCGAAGGCGGCUCACUGGCUCGAUACUGACGCUGAGGUGCGAAAGUGUGGGGAGCAAACAGGAUUAGAUACCCGGCGUC
rnacentral:rRNA from 1 species